CCGCAUCACCAAAAGUCU
rnacentral:snRNA from 1 species